rnacentral:rRNA from 1 species
CCUACGGGUGGCUGCAGUGGGGAAUAUUGCACAAUGGGCGCAAGCCUGAUGCAGCCAUGCCGCGUGUGUGAAGAAGGCCUUCGGGUUGUAAAGCACUUUCAGCGGGGAGGAAGGCGGUGAGGUUAAUAACCUUAUCGAUUGACGUUACCAGCAGAAGAAGCACCGGCUAACUCCGUGCCAGCAGCCGCGGUAAUACGGAGGGUGCAAGCGUUAAUCGGAAUUACUGGGCGUAAAGCGCACGCAGGCGGUCUGUCAAGUCGGAUGUGAAAUCCCCGGGCUCAACCUGGGAACUGCAUUCGAAACUGGCAGGCUAGAGUCUUGUAGAGGGUGGUAGAAUUCCCGGUGUAGCGGUGAGAUUCGUAGAGAUCUGGAGGAAUACCGGUGGCGAAGGCGGCCCCCUGGACAAAGACUGACGCUCAGGUGCGAAAGCGUCGGGAGCAAACAGGAUUAGGUACCCUGGUAGUC